rnacentral:rRNA from 1 species
UAGGGAAUCUUCCGCAAUGGACGCAAGUCUGACGGAGCAACGCCGCGGGAGUGAAGAAGGAUUUCGGUUCGUAAAACUCUGUUGGUAGAGAAGAACAGCGCAUAGAGUAACUGUUAUGCGUGUGACGGUAUCUAACCAGAAAGCCACGGCUAACUACGUGCCAGCAGCCGCGGUAAUACGUAGGUGGCAAGCGUUGUCCGGAUUUAUUGGGCGUAAAGCGAGCGCAGGCGGUCAAUUAAGUCUGAUGUGAAAGCCCCCGGCUCAACCGGGGAGGGUCAUUGGAAACUGGUUGACUUGAGUGCAGAAGAGGAGAGUGGAAUUCCAUUUGUAGCGGUAAAAUGCGUAGAUAUAUGGGGGAACACCAGUGGCGAAGGAGACUCUCUGGUCUGUAACUUCCGCUGGGGUUCGAAAGCGUGGGUAGCAAACAGG